rnacentral:rRNA from 1 species
GACGAACCAUGAUGUCAUUUAUUUGGUGUUGUGGGGAAUCAGGACUGUUACUUUGAAAAAAUUAGAGUAGUUUAAAGCAGGCUCACGCUUGAAUACAUUAGCAUGGAAUAAUGAAAUAGGACGUUUGAUUCUAUUUUGUUGGUUUCUAGGAUCGACGUAAUGAUUAAUAGGGAUAGUUGGGGGCAUUAGUAUUCAAUUGUCAGAGGUGAAAUUCUUGGAUUUAUUGAAGACUAACUACUGCGAAAGCAUUUGCCAAGGAUGUUUUCAUUAAUCAAGAACGAAAGUUAGGGGAUCGAAGACGAUCAGAUACCGUCGUAGUCUUAACCAUAAACUAUGCCGACUAGGGAUCGGAUGAUGUUAAUUUUUUAAUGACUCAUUCGGCGCCUUACG